rnacentral:rRNA from 1 species
UACAGAGGGUGCAAGCGUUAAUCGGAAUUACUGGGCGUAAAGGGCGCGUAGGUGGUUAUGUAAGUGAGAUGUGAAAUCCCCUGGGCUCAACCUGGGAACUGCAUCUUAUACUGCGUAGCUGGAGUACAUGAGAGGGUAGUGGAAUUUCCGGUGUAGCGGUGAAAUGCGUAGAUAUCGGAAGGAACACCAGUGGCGAAGGCGGCUACCUGGCAUGAUACUGACACUGAGGCGCGAGAGCGUGGGGAGCAAACAGG